CUUCACGAAUACUGACUGCCACAUAGGCAAGGCUCCGACCAGUCAGAUACCAACCCCAUAGUUGCACGGCGGGUGGUUCGGAUGACGAAGUGGCCUUGGAGCGCAUUUCCGCACACCGGGGCAAGGACAACUG
rnacentral:ncRNA from 2 species